GACGAACGCUGGCGGCGUGCUUAACACAUGCAAGUCGAACGAAGAGCGAUGGAAGCUUGCUUCUAUCAAUCUUAGUGGCGAACGGGUGAGUAACGCGUAAUCAACCUGCCCUUCAGAGGGGGACAACAGUUGGAAACGACUGCUAAUACCGCAUACGAUCUAAUCUCGGCAUCGAGGAAAGAUGAAAGGUGGCCUCUACAUGUAAGCUAUCACUGAAGGAGGGGAUUGCGUCUGAUUAGCUAGUUGGAGGGGUAACGGCCCACCAAGGCGAUGAUCAGUAGCCGGUCUGAGAGGAUGAACGGCCACAUUGGGACUGAGACACGGCCCAGACUCCUACGGGAGGCAGCAGUGGGGAAUCUUCCGCAAUGGACGAAAGUCUGACGGAGCAACGCCGCGUGAGUGAUGACGGCCUUCGGGUUGUAAAGCUCUGUUAAUCGGGACGAAAGGCCUUCUUGCAAAUAGUGAGAAGGAUUGACGGUACCGGAAUAGAAAGC
rnacentral:rRNA from 1 species